GGGGGCGAUCAGGUUUCGACGUGGUCGGUUCUCCGGCAGAGCUGCAAGCCGAGGUCCCCGGUCGGCCUCGUAAAACAACCGGGAACAACGUAGGUGCGAAGAACGAACUCGCACUCGCUGCCUAACUGAAUUAGGUCAGCGCGUCGCCCCGGGCUCGGCCCGUGGCCCGGGUAGCGGCGUCAGAGAACGGGCUCGGCGCCGAGGGAGAGCCAAUCGCCCGAGGCGCGACAGCGCAGGAUGGCUAGCCCGGCGGCAGGUCGGCUGUCCACCGGCCGGCGGGCGAACGAGAAGGGCAGCCUACGCUUGUAGACGCUCCGCCCGGUGCGGCCGCGGACGCGGGUUCGAUUCCCGCCGCCUCCACCU
rnacentral:tmRNA from 1 species